rnacentral:rRNA from 1 species
CCUACGGUGUGCAGCAGUGGGGAAUAUUGCACAAUGGGCGCAAGCCUGAUGCAGCCAUGCCGCGUGUGUGAAGAAGGCCUUCGGGUUGUAAGGCACUUUCAGCGGGGAGGAAGGCGGUGAGGUUAAUAACCUCAUCGAUUGACGUUACCCGCAGAAGAAGCACCGGCUAACUCCGUGCCAGCAGCCGCGGUAAUACGGAGGGUGCAAGCGUUAAUCGGAAUUACUGGGCGUAAAGCGCACGCAGGCGGUCUGUCAAGUCGGAUGUGAAAUCCCCGGGCUCAACCUGGGAACUGCAUUCGAAACUGGCAGGCUAGAGUCUUGUAGAGGGGGGUAGAAUUCCAGGUGUAGCGGUGAAAUGCGUAGAGAUCUGGAGGAAUACCGGUGGCGAAGGCGGCCCCCUGGACAAAGACUGACGCUCAGGUGCGAAAGCGUGGGGAGCAAACAGGAUUAGAUACCCCAGUAGUC